UUUAUAUUUUGCUUUCAUCCACAACUCAUUUAGAUUUUAAAUGGUUCUACCUGUCCAAGCAUACAAAACUGUCUACAGAUCAGAUUGUUUUUUAUUUACCAUUCACAAACUAUAGUUCGUAAUGGUGCAGAUCCAAAAAAAUAAAAGAAAACCGCUGCGAACUAACUGCGAACCGUCUUUAAACUAAAUUCGUAGCAGUUUGUUGCAUGUCCCAAAAAUAAUAUAGACUGGACCGCAAUUAGGUUUUGAAUGGAUGUUGUGGUUAGUGCGGACUAAUCCGUCAACAGUCGAAUCUAUACUAUAUUUGGAGUGAAAACAAAUCGCUACAAAUUAGUUUAAAGUCGGUCCGCAACAAUUUUCUUUUAUUUUUUUAGGUCCGCACCACUAUAUACUAUAUAUAAUUU
rnacentral:sRNA from 1 species